UACGGGGGGGGUAAGCGUUGUUCGGAAUUACUGGGCGUAAAGGGCUCGUAGGCGGCCAACUAAGUCAUACGUGAAAUCCCUCAGCUUAACUGGGGAACUGCGUGUGAUACUGGAUGGCUUGGAUUUGGGAGAGGGAUGCGGAAUUCCAGGUGUAGCGGUGAAAUGCGCAGAUAUCAGGAGGAACACCGAUGGCGAAGGCAGGUCUCUGGGCAUUAACUGACGCUGAGGAGCGAAAGCAUGGGGAGCGAACAGG
rnacentral:rRNA from 1 species